rnacentral:lncRNA from 1 species
UCAUCAAAACCAAUCAUUCAAUUUCAUUCAACCAUUCAAUUUCCAAUUACAUAAGCCAAUCAAUCCAUUUUCCAUUUAAAACAUACAACAUCUUCGAUUCAAAUUAUUUCAUUUAAUUUCACAUUUCCAUUCACAAAUUACAAUAUUCAAACCAACAUUCAUAUUCAACCAUUUCAACCACAAACCAAUGUUUUCAAUUGAAGGUUACGACAAAAUUACAAUUUCAAUCAAGUCAAUUUAAGUUCCAUUACAAAUCCAUUCCAUUUGAAACAAAUUUCAAGCAGUUCCUAGCACCUCCCAAAUGCAUUUACCUGCAAAAGAAAUCCAGUUUAAGUCAUUAACAUUGCCCCUGCGAAUUACCAAACAGAAAGAAGCAUAAGUCUCACUUGCAACCAAUUUCAUUUAACAUGUUAACAAUACUCCAAUUAACUUCAACCAAGAUCAUUCACAUUAAAACAAUUUAAAACAAUUUCACUAAUCCCUAACUUCACAAUUCACAACAAGUACUUAGCAAAACCGAAACUCUUCAACUAAGGGAUUCAAAACUAAUUCAUAACAGGAAAAACGAAAUUCCACUAAUUAACAUUUUCAAUACUCUAACAAUUAACAAAAUGAUUUCACUUCAUUCACAACAAGUCACGAGCAGAUUCAUCACCAAUUAACAAACUAAUCUACUAACAUUUAACCAUUUCAUUUAACAGAAAUUGAUCACUAAUAGAUUUAGUUAUAUUAACAUAACCUUCAAUUUUACUGACUCAGUUACAUUUCCAGAUGUUAUCACAGUUAGCAACCUCAUAACUACAUGAUAAAAACUCUGUUAACAGAACUAAAUCAAUAACUUCACUCUUCAAUUAACAGAAUCAUCACAGAGUUAACAACUUCAUAACUAACUAAUUUUACAACUCUCCUAACUAACUAAAUUUUUUCCACAGUGUUAACAAACGUGUAAAAGAAAUACACAUAAUUGAAUUAACAGAGAACCAUUAACAGAAUCACGCUGUAUGUAUGUUCACCCUGCAACUUCAACCAGGGACGAUUUUCAUUCUUUUCGAUUUUCAUCCUCCAUCUCUCUCUCUCUCAGAAUUUCAUUCUUCACAAACUCUCAGAAUUUCAUUCUUCACAAACUCUCAGAAUCUCAUAAAUUUAUUCUUCGACGUUCAUACGAUAUGUUCUUCUCUCAAUCUCGCAAGACUUCAUUGCAGAAACAAACAAGAACUUAAGCCGCAGCAGAGAAUUUGAGGAGAAGAAGAAGAAAUCAAAAUCAAAAGGAAAGUGAAGAACGCAAUACUUGUUCAAACCGAAAUUCCGAUUCAGUGAGUUCUUGCUUCAAAUCUGAUUCCACUUCAUUUCGAUUUUGUGCACGCCAAGAAUUGAGAUUGAAUUUUAGUCAUUCAAUUUCGGAGAUGGAAAUUGAUUUCGGAGCCAAAUGCUUCAUCGUCUUUUCGUUUCAAAAUGUGUAUCCGAGAAAGAAGACGUGAAGCCAUUGGAAUGCGGAUGAAGCUGCGCUUUGUGCUGAGCUGUUGGAUAUUCAAAUCCGUUUUGGGCUCGUUUUGAUGUGGAUAAACCGUUUUGGUUGUUUGAAAGCUUGACUCUGUUUGGGCCUAAGGCCAAAACGUGUUGCUAUGCACACUCCAUGACAAAUGCCAGCACCCUCCAUGGUUUUUUUAAUUUUUAUUUUUAUUUUUUCUUAUUUUAGCUUAAUCAUGAUUAAUUGAUAUCUUGAUUUAGUUUAGAUUAGGUUUGUUAAUAUUAGGCUAAUUAGG